rnacentral:rRNA from 1 species
GCAAGUCGAGCGGUAACAGAAAGUAGCUUGCUACUUUGCUGACGAGCGGCGGACGGGUGAGUAAUGCUUGGGAACAUGCCUUGAGGUGGGGGACAACAGUUGGAAACGACUGCUAAUACCGCAUAAUAUCUUCGGAUCAAAGUGGGGGACCUUCGGGCCUCACGCCAUAAGAGUAGCCCAAGUGGGAUUAGCUAGUUGGUAAGGUAAUAGCUUACCAAGGCAACGAUCCCUAGUUGGUCUUAGAGGAUGACC